ACUUUUUCCUGUGGGACUUUUCCUAACAUUAACAGCGCCAGUGCUCACAUGACUCCCUAUUGCGCUGUUCCAGGGAGCUGAUCCAGCCAGAAAGUAACCUGAAAAAGAAGUGCUGAGCUCUGUGAACCUUCUUCCUCGGAGAUUAGUAUUCAUGGAGUAUCCGAAAGAGGAGAAAAAUUAGAAGAGAAGCAAAAUUGUGACUCCCCGUAAAGAUGUAAAUAUGGAGCUACUGAGCCAUAGCUGUUCUCUGGGGCAGCAGCUGGCAGCGCUACCUCCCAUCCGUGCCGAGUGGGAUGUGCAGCAGAAGCCAGGGCUGCAAAGCCUUCCACCUGUUUGUGAAAAGUGAGUGCACACGCAACCUGAAGUUACUCAGCGUAUUCGUUUGGUCUUCGGCAGUUGGGUGAUGUUGUUACUGUGACUUUUCUGCUGUCUCAUAUCUCCCGCGACAUGUGCCAGCUGAUACGGGAGCUGUGACAUACCACACCCCCGCGGCUGGGACAUGGCUCACGUGGUCUGGAUUCAUCCAGAGAACUUUAAAGAAACUGAUAAGCUCUAUCUUGUUUAACUUGGCCUUUGGAAGAUGUUUGUGGAAAUUUCUGCAAAGGAGGUGACAUCAGUUGUUGUCACAGCUGCUGUGUAAGUCUGCAAGGCUGCGUCUGUUCAGUAUCUGGCUGGGGUGUGUAUGUGUGUGCCAGUAGAUAUCGAUAAUAGAUUGUGUUUCAAUCAAAAGCUAGCUCAUAUUGAGUAGGUGAGGAGGUUCAAUUGCUCAGAAAUAGGUGCGUUAUCAUCAAAGCUUGAUGUGAUGAUGGAGUGCGUAGAAUUAACAAAGCAGAAAGAGAACCAGCUCUGGAGAGCCGAUACUGCAUUUGAAACAAACCUUCUCCCAGGGGAAUUCCAAGUGUUAGCAUGUGGGACAUGCUCCAGCUGCUUGCUGCUCAGACUUAAAAUAAACCAGGCAAAGUCCCACGUACGAGCCCUACCAACUGGGGCGGGCUGCUGCUGCAAACUUUUCAUCUUUUCCUCCAGUCGGGUAGGAAUGACAAUAAAUAUUUUUGAAGGAGCAUUUUGAAUGCUGAUGUUUUGCACAGCUUUGCUUGUGCUUCUCUGAAGUGACACAUUUCCCAGCGCAGUUAUGAAUUUAACAAAAAAUCUGCUUUGUAAUAUAUCAAAACACUGUUCUGGGAAGACUGGAAUUAAUAAAGAGUU
rnacentral:lncRNA from 7 species